rnacentral:rRNA from 1 species
CGAGCGGCGGACGGGUGACGUAACGACGGUGGGACAACCUCGCCCGUGUAGAGUGGAGUAACUCCGGGAAACCGGGGCUAAUACCGAAUAAUCCACCGGACCUCAUGGUCUGGUGUUGAAAGACGGCAUCUCGCUGUCACUACAGGAUGGGCCCGCGGCGCAUUAGCUAGUUGGUGAGGUAACGGCUCACCAAGGCCACGAUGCGUAGCCGACCUGAGAGGGUGAUCGGCCACACUGGGACUGAGACACGGCCCAGACUCCUACGGGAGGCAGCAGUAGGGAAUCUUCCACAAUGGACGAAAGUCUGACGGAGCAACGCCGCGUGAGUGAAGAAGGUUUUCGGAAUCGUAAAACUCUGUUGUCAGAGAAGAACAAGUUGGAGAGUAACUGCUCCAGCCCUGACGGUAUCUGACCAGAAAGCCACGGCUAACUACGUGCCAGCAGCAGC